rnacentral:rRNA from 1 species
CGUGCCCUAAUACAUGCAAGUCGAGCGGACUUGAUGGGAGCUUGCUCCUGUCAAGUUAGCGGCGGACGGGUGAGUAACACGUGGGCAACCUGCCCAAUAGUUGGGGAUAACUCCGGGAAACCGGGGCUAAUACCGAAUAAUACAUUUCAUCUCCUGUUGGAAUGUUGAAAGAUGGUUUACGCUAUCGCUAUUGGAUGGGCCCGCGGCGCAUUAGCUAGUUGGUGAGGUAACGGCUCACCAAGGCGACGAUGCGUAGCCGACCUGAGAGGGUGAUCGGCCACACUGGGACUGAGACACGGCCCAGACUCCUACGGGAGGCAGCAGUAGGGAAUCUUCCACAAUGGGCGAAAGCCUGAUGGAGCAACGCCGCGUGAGUGAAGAAGGUUUUCGGAUCGUAAAACUCUGUUGUAAGGGAAGAACAAGUACAGUAGUAACUGGCUGUACCUUGACGGUACCUUAUUAGAAAGCCACGGCUAACUACGUGCCAGCAGCCGCGGUAAUACGUAGGUGGCAAGCGUUGUCCGGAAUUAUUGGGCGUAAAGCGCGCGCAGGUGGUCCUUUAAGUCUGAUGUGAAAGCCCACGGCUCAACCGUGGAGGGUCAUUGGAAACUGGGGGACUUGAGUGCAGAAGAGGAAAGUG